rnacentral:lncRNA from 7 species
GGGCCCCGCGGCCUUGGCCGCGCUCAGAUUCUCUGAAGAGUAUGUUGAGUGUUGAAAAAUAGUGGUUUGUUUUUCUUCACCUUCAUGACAAGAAUAAGACUUUCCCAUCAGUUGUGGACAUGGAUACUCAAGCUCAUGAUCCGCUGAAAUAUUUGCGUGCCUCAUUAAGAAGGUGAUGAUGGUGUGCUGUAUUGCCAUUUUCACAGUCUACUCGCUACUUCUAACAUAGGAGUUGAAAGUUAUUACCUGAAGAUUGUUUCUGAACAACUAAAGGAUUAAGGCUGUUUCUGUUCUAGUGAGCAAAACCCUGUCCUUCACUUCCACGGAGCUGAAUGAACAAAGAUCUCUUCCCUUCUAGUGUCAGCCAUCUCACCCAACAUUUGAUUCCUGAGAUUACUUCUCCUACAGAAGGACCCUACUGUUUCAUCAGAACUCAAAAACAAAGUAACAGAAGUCAGCAUUAGUUUCCCUGAAGAAAUGUCUUCAGUGCCAGCCCUUCAUCCAGCUUUUUGCACUCUGUUUUAAAUUGAGAAAAAACUUUGCAAUCGGAUGCAGCUGGUGUUCUUCACUGAUACCUUCCUCAUUUUCAGAAGAUUAAGUUCUUCAGUAUGUCAUAUUGGAAUUCCUGGCCUAUAAAGUAUCUGUAUGCAUUGCCCUGUCAACCUUGGCGUGUAUGCAGCAGGAAACCAGGACAUACUUUCUGCUCUGUUAUGAGGAAUAAACUUGCCAAGCAACUGGAGAAGUCCCACACAUAACAGGUAUUUUGUAGUUCAGGAUCCUGACUUGACUCUGUAGAUAAAUAUCUUGAUGUUAACUCACACAAAGCAGCUAAUGCACAGGAACAAAUGCAGAAUCACCUUGUCUGUGGUGUGUAACAGCGUCAUCCCAAUCUGUGAUCAAAAUGUAUAUUUGCAUGUAUAAACCCACAUAAGUUCUGGCUAUGAAGAACUUUGAGCAGAAGAAGAAAUUACUCUGCACCACUUCAUUUUUAGCAAAGAAAAAUGAAGCUUUAAAGACCUCUAAGGUUACAAGAUAAUGAUUAAGUUCACAUUAAUCAUUCCCUCCUUUGGGCUUUUUAUGGAUCCUCAGCAGCAAAAGGAACAAAACCAUUCUACAGUUGAAAAGAUGUGACAGAACUUCUUUCUUUAUUAAAGAAAUUAACUUCUGGUGAGAUGGAAGAGACCUGAGGUAUAAAGCUGCAGCUUACGCCCUGCAGCUUCCAUGACACAGAUUCAGCUUUUUCAUAGCGCUGAUGGAAUCCGAUUUUUGAUUCUUUUGUGACUGAGAACUGAGAUGAUUUGUAUGUUUCCAUCGUCUCCGCCCAGAAUGAGCUCAGCCAUGUAAGAGGUACGAGUUGAGAGAGUAGAAAUGCUUAGGGUUGGGACUUUUUCUGGUGGUUCUUAUUCCUUCCCAAAUUAAGGCGCUAUCUGUUGUUCUUAUGUUUACACAGGGUUCUCUGUCUCCAUUGUUUGUGAUUAUAUAAGGUAUUUUCAAUCAUUUUCAGGUGGGAUCUUAUACUGUUCACAUGCUCCUUGCUAUGGUAUUAUAUAUGGCAAGUAAGAUUUCUUGGCAAAAACUAAUCUCCAUUUCAAGUCUGGAUCUCUUAGUGCACCUUAAUCCAAACUUGCAAUUUACAAAAUGAUUUAGCUUAAAAUAUUUUUAAAUUUGGAUCAAAUAAGGGAUAUAUGUUCUAGCACUAUGUUUUGGGGAAUAACGGCAUGGUUAGGUGGUGGGGUGUUUGUUUUGUUUUGUUUUUUUUUUGUUUCAGAAAACUACUGGAGAGAGCCGGACAGCCUGAAAAUGGCUGGAAGAGCCAACAGUUGAAAUCUUUCUUAAAUCUUACUGAUAGAUUGCAAGGGCAGUAUUCUGAAACUUAAAACGUGGUGAAAUGUUAUGGGGACCGAGUUUCCAUAGCAGAAGGACAGAUGUUGGUACUGAUCCUGUUCCUUGGGGUAACGUUAGAUCUGUGUUUAGACUUGCAUUGUAACAAUAAGAUUUAAUGAAAGCCCUUCCCGUUUGUUUUGGUCUGAUCUUCAUGGAGACAUGCAAGCUAAGCAGGGUGGUUAAGACACUGCGUAUCAAAAUUAUGCCCACUGUAACAAGUAGAGGUGCACUUAAAUUAUAUGCAAUAUUGUGAU